AUGAAAGAUCGACUUGACUCUCCGUUGCACUUGGUUGCAUACUUACUGUAUCCAUAUUAUAGCUAUGCUGAUACUAAUAUUUUUGAUGAUGGGACAAUAACCGAAGGGUUCAUUAGCUGUGUGGAGACCUUUUAUUAUGGUGAUGAUGACAAGCAAGAUCAAGCUGUCAAUUUUGAAUUAAAGAGGUUCCAGAAUAGAGAAGGAUCAUUUGCAAAGAAUCUUGCGAGGAGUUGUCGGAAUUUUGAUUAUAAUGCAGCAUCUUGGUGGAGGCUCUAUGGAACUGAAGCACCAGCUCUACAAAGGAUGGCUGUGAGAAUCCUCUCAUUGACCUCAAGUUCUUCAGUCUGUGAAAGGAAUUGGAGUACCUUCGAAAAUAUUCAUACAAAGAAAAGAAAUAGGCUAACUACAGAACGUCUAAACUCUCUUGUGUUCAUACAAUUCAACUCUAGAAUGAUGGCCAAGAAACAAAUGAUCAAGGAGAAGAAGAUCAUUGAUGUCCUCUUGUCCGCUGAAACUACCGAAGCUCAAGGUUUUGUUUUUGAGGGCGGAGAUGAUUAUGCAGAAGUCGUCUAUAGGGAUGAUGAUGAGGAGGAGAUGGAUAGUACAGGGAUGCCAGGGAGUGGCAUUGGAGAAGCGAUGGGAGGCAAUGAACUGCUUGAGCCACGUAGAAGUGUGAGACUAAGACAACUUUAUGAAGAAGAAGAAUUCGAGUCUGAAGAAGAGGAGUUUGAUGAUGAUGAGGAGAUGCAUUCAGAUGAGGAGAAUGACUAUUGA
rnacentral:rRNA from 1 species